GCCAACAUAUGGUCUUGAAUUGUUGAAUAAAGUUAUAGUCUUUGGGCGUGAUAUGGGAUAGGGAGACAUUGAUCACCUUUAAAACGUCUGCCUCAAAUGAAGAAAAUAAUAUUAGGACCCCUAAGUCACAUACGAUGAGGAGGUAAAAGUAGAAGUAGGGGCAUGGAGAAUCACCCAAAGCAGCCGUAUUAACCCUCUCCAUUGAGGAACACGUCUCUAUGAUGACUUCUU
rnacentral:lncRNA from 1 species